GGAACACAUAUUGGGUACACCAAUUAGUGGCAAUUGAUGCCCUCCGACUGUGGACAUAAAAUUCAGUGUAAAUACCUCCCAUACAAGCCAUUUAGCGGUACAUAUUCGAAAAUUCAGCAUACAACCGUAGAGAAACAUAUCAUUACAGAAGACCCUCAAAAGUAGACAAACUUACCAGGCAUCAAGUUAUUCAUUCUCACAUUGUUGCCUUCGGAGGCAUCCACAGGCAGAGGCGACCACCCGACCCGGCUACCGGACUCCGACCUCAACCUCAUCAUCAACAUAAACACAACAGCCGAUAAGCUCAUGAACACAACCCCACACAAUACCGAACUCACAAAUGUCCCCAAGGUAAUCCUCUUCCUCGGGCUCUCCAUAACCGAAAGCACCGGAAUCUCCCCAUCCAAACUACCCCUCUCAUUACUCAUCUUCAUAAUCUCCACCCCAUUCAACAACCCACCAAUCCUCAACGGACGAGUCAUCUUCGACGGAGUAAUCGUCACAUUCAAAACCCCAGAACCAUCAGCAUCCACCGCAAAAUCUGCAUAAUACGGAGAAGCCAACACUUGCCCCGCCGCCUCCGACAAAUCAAGAUCCUCAUACGCCACAUACCCAUUAACAUAAACAUUGAAAUACAACUCAUUCAGCGCCAUACUAGCAAUAUCACAGAAAUGCGUCCUCACCAGGUAGCGAAACCCCGCCCUCACCGGAAACGCCCACUCCAAUUUCGCACCCUCGUUCCUGAUCACCCUGGCGCUGGCAUAGACACUGUCCGGUGCGACCUCGCGGCUGGCACCGUACUUCCGGUACAUAAUCCGUCCGCUGAAGGAUACCACGGCACCAUCCGUGGACGCAUCCGGAGACCAGGUCCGCCAGAGGGUGUCGUUGAACGGGGUGACCUUGGGGCCGCCGAUGUUGAUGCGGUGGAUAGUCUCGAGGGCUUUGUUUGUGAUGCCGUAGAAGUUUUCGGUGUGGUUUUGUGACACUAGGCGGGCGACGUCGCUGAUGAGGUCAGAUGGUGCGGAGAAGAGCUCGAUGGCGUUG
rnacentral:misc_RNA from 1 species